rnacentral:rRNA from 1 species
GGACCAAUAUGUCGGUCGUGCUUCGGUACGUACUGUCAUAAUUGGUUUCUCCCUUCUGAAGAACCUUGAUGUCAUUAAUUUGGUGUCUUGGGGAAUCAGGACUGUUACUUUGAAAAAUUAGAGUGUUUAAAGCAGGCUCGCGCUUGAAUACAUUAGCAUGGAAUAAUGAAAUAGGACGUUUGAUUCUAUUUUGUUGGUUUCUAGGAUCGACGUAAUGAUUAAUAG